UACAGAGGGGGCAAGCGUUGUUCGGAAUUACUGGGCGUAAAGGGCGCGUAGGCGGCCUGUUUAGUCGCACGUGAAAUCCCCGGGCUCAACCCGGGAACUGCGUCCGAAACUGGCAGGCUCGAAUCCGGGAGAGGGAUGCGGAAUUCCAGGUGUAGCGGUGAAAUGCGUAGAUAUCUGGAGGAACAUCGGUGGCGAAGGCGGCAUCCUGGACCGGUAUUGACGCUGAGGCGCGAAAGCCAGGGGAGCAAACGGG
rnacentral:rRNA from 1 species